rnacentral:rRNA from 1 species
GACGAACGCUGGCGGCGUGCUUAACACAUGCAAGUCGAACGGAAAGGCCCUGCUUUUGUGGGGUGCUCGAGUGGCGAACGGGUGAGUAACACGUGAGUAACCUGCCCUCGACUUUGGGAUAACUUCAGGCAACUGGGGCUAAUACCGGAUAGGAGCUCCUGCUGCAUGGUGGGGGCUGGAAAGUUUCGGCGGUUGGGGAUGGACUCGCGGCUUAUCAGCUUGUUGGUGGGGUAGUGGCUUACCAAGGCUUUGACGGGUAGCCGGCCUGAGAGGGUGACCGGCCACAUUGGGUCUGAGAUACGGCCCAGACUCCUACGGGAGGCAGCAGUGGGGAAUAUUGCACAAUGGGCGGAAGCCUGAUGCAGCAACGCCGCGUGCGGGAUGACGGCCUUCGGGUUGUGAACCGCUUUCGCCUGUGACGAAGCGUGAGUGACGGUAAUGGGUAAAGAAGCACCGGCUAACUACGUG